rnacentral:lncRNA from 1 species
UUUUUUUUGGGAUUCGCCGUUGAUAAUCUCCUCGUCCACGCGAUUCAGUCGCCGUUCAUACUCUUCCGUUAUCCCACGCGCCGGUACAUUAUUCGCAUUGUAUUCUGUUAAUGUUCUGUCUGUCUCGUGGUUUACUUAAUUUUGUUUUCUGUUAAUCUUUUGCUUCAUACUGAGGCGAAGCUAUAAUUUUAACCUUAUGAGUUUUAGAUUUUAGAACGACAACUUCACGUGCUAAUAACUAGGUUUUACGUUUAAUAUUUGUUCGUAUUUAAUGAAUUUUUUAACACAAAUAAUGUAUUUGAGCAAAAGUUACUGGGUUCGUUUGAUCCUGUAUUCAGGCUUCUAGCUCGGCCCCUGACUUCAUAGAUAAUAAUAGAGUAUAAUGCAAAUAAAGUUGGUGAGAAACUUGUAUAUAGUGUGUAGGAUAAAUGUGGCAAUUAGAAAAUUUCUUUUGUUGUAUAAGAAUGUCUAAUUUGGCUUAGAGGAUAAAUUGUUUAAUAUUGAUAAGAAAUGGAUCCAAUAAAGCAAAAUGAAUAUAGAGGAUUUAUAGUUGAACUCUUGGCUUCAAGAUUUGCGUGGUGAUUGAUCUUGUUUGAUGUGUAUUUUCAUGCUUGAGAUCGUUUAUAGGCGUUUUUGUUUUAGUGUCCAGGGGAUAUGGUGUCAUCAAUUGAUUACAGUAUUAACAAGGAAGUUAAUACAAAUUAUUUAGCAUUGGAACGGAAUGGAUCUGAAUAAAGCUAAAGGGAUAUAAAGGAAUGUUUGGGAUUACGCUGGAUAUGUUGUUGUUGUUGCUGAUGUAAGUCGUG